rnacentral:rRNA from 1 species
GACGAACGCUGGCGGCGUGCUUAACACGUGCAAGUCGAACGGAAAGGCCCUGCUUUUGUGGGGUGCUCGAGUGGCGAACGGGUGAGUAACACGUGAGUAACCUGCCCUUGACUUUGGGAUAACUUCAGGAAACUGGGGCUAAUACCGGAUAGGAGCUCCUGCUGCAUGGUGGGGGUUGGAAAGUUUCGGCGGUUGGGGAUGGACUCGCGGCUUAUCAGCUUGUUGGUGGGGUAGUGGCUUACCAAGGCUUUGACGGGUAGCCGGCCUGAGAGGGUGAACGGCCACAUUGGGCCUGAGAUAGGGCCCAGACGGCUACGGGAGGCAGCAGUGGGGAAUAUUGCACAAUGGGCGGAAGCCUGAUGCAGCAACGCCGCGUGCGGGAUGACGGCCUUCGGGUUGUAAACCGCUUUCGCCUGUGACGAAGCGUGAGUGACGGUAAUGGGUAAAGAAGCACCGGCUAACUACGUG